GAUGAACGCUAGCGGCAGGCCUAAUACAUGCAAGUCGAACGGUGUAGCAAUACACAGUGGCGCACGGGUGCGUAACACGUAUGCAACCUACCUUACAUUGGGGGAUAGCCUUUCGAAAGGGAGAUUAAUACCGCAUAAGACAGUAACUAGGCAUCUAGUAGCUGUUAAAGAUUUAUCGAUGUAUGCUGGGCAUGCGUCCAAUUAGUUAGUUGGCGGGGUAAUGGCUCACCAAGACGAUGAUUGGUAGGGGAACUGAGAGGUCAAUCCCCCACACUGGCACUGAGAUACGGGCCAGACUCCUACGGGAGGCAGCAGUAGGGAAUAUUGGGCAAUGGGCGCAAGCCUGACCCAGCCAUGCCGCGUGCAGGAAGAAGGCGUUAUGCGUUGUAAACUGCUUUUAUACAGGAAGAAACGACCCUUGCGAGGGGCAUUGACGGUACUGUAUGAAUAAGCACCGGCUAACUCCGUGCCAGCCGCCGCCGUAAGAC
rnacentral:rRNA from 1 species